rfam:Aedes albopictus isolate Foshan contig112802, whole genome shotgun sequence.
CUUCAGUUAGCCUAGUGAUUAAGGCUACGGAUCGCCAAUCUGGAGACGAUGGGUUCGAUUCCCGUUCCGGUGA